GCUGGGUGCGGUGGCGUGCGCCUGUAGUCCCAGCUACUCGGGAGGCUGAGGAGGGAGGAUCGCUUGAGCCCAGGAGUUCUGGGCUGUAGUGCGCUAUGCCGAUUGGGUGUCCGUACUAAGUUCGACAUCAUUAUGGUGACCUCCUGGGAGCCAGGGACCACCAGGUUGCCUAAGGAGGGUGAACCGGCCCAGGUCAGAAACGGAGCAGGUCAAAACUCCUGUGCUGAUCAGUAGUGGGAUGACACCUGUGAAUAGCCACUGCACUCCAGCCUGGGCAACAUAGACAGACCCCAUCUCU
rnacentral:SRP_RNA from 1 species